ACUGCGGCUUCAGUGUUCGAUCUGAUUAAAUUGAUUCUGCAAUUCACCCCUCGCAGGACGUCCCAUUCCUGCCAUUCUGUUUCACUUCCUGUUUAUGUUUUGUAUUUUUAUUUUUAUCUUGAGAAGAAACAGACAGCAGAAUAGGGGUUGUGGAAACCGGUUGCCAUAGAGAUUGGAGACGUACACACUGAGGCUAGCUGUCAGCUAGCUGAGAAGACCUCUUUGUUCGAAGGAGAGACGAGUGGGCAGCGGAGAAGUUGUCAGGAGAACAAACUUGCAAACAUCACGAUUCUGCUUCGUUUCAAACUCAAAUGUGAACUGGGUGUGGCCUGGAGUUAGCCCCUGACCAGGAGGACCUGUGCCAGUGUUCCCAGUUUGUUUAAGCCUGGCUGCGCCUCACACCAGGUGCUGGUCAUGUUUCCCCCAGAAGAAGCAGUCCCGAUAUUUUUGUUGAGUUUGUUGUUUUGGUUAAGUGUAAUUGGUUUUGAUUUUCUUGAACUAGGUCUUCUGUUUAUCAGUAUCUUGGUUCUUAUUUGGUUUGUUUUGAGUUGCAUUCUUCUCAUUUUUUAAAUCAGCCUAGUGUUUUUUGUCUUUAAAACCUAUGUUACUCUUAGCAAUCAGCUUGUCUGUUGGACUGAACCAGGUGGGCCAGCCUUCGCUCAUCAAAUGCGUCAUUACUCCUUUGGUU